rnacentral:lncRNA from 1 species
CUUCAGGUUGUGUGUGUGGUGGCCUGGCAUUCAAUCUGUGAGGUGGAUGCGUGUUGGAAGGACCCCUUUUGGUUUCUUUUUGCUCAGAGCUUUCUUUUAAUAAAUUCCGCUCUCCUCACCUUUCAAUGUGUCCGUAUGCCUAAUUUUUCCUGGUCCUGUGACAAGAACCUGAUUUUAGCUGAACUAAGGAGCGAAAGAUCCUGGAUCAUUUUGGUGACCCAUACUGGUACAUGAGGAAAGACGCCACAAUCAAGAACUCAGAAGGGUAGAAGAAAAAGAUAGUUUCCCUUCCCUACACAGGGUCCAUGCAUUCAGUGGAGUAAUGAUUCCUGUCCAUGAAAAAAAAAAAAGAAAGUAGAAAAUUUCAGAGAAGAGAAAAAUUUUCCACUUGGGAGCAAGGGCAUGAGGGCAGCGGGGAAGUGGUAGAUAUACUGACAUGUUAAUAUAUUAGGUCUUGUAUUUCUUUUGUACAUAGUCUUUCUUCUUUGACUGCCUCGUUCAUGCAUCUCCACUACUUGAAAAAUUAUUUAAUUUACAAGCAUGUGCCAAAGUCCUACAUCAUGCUUCCUCUAAGAUUCUAUGCAAGCCAAUUCAAAGAUUUCUCUCUUAAAAAUAUUUGUAUGAAAAAAAGACAUGGCUAGGAAAUCACUGUUCAGUAGGAUAAAAUAAAAGUGC